GAUGAACGCUGGCGGCGUGCUUAACACAUGCAAGUCGAGCGAAAGGACGAGACGCUUGCGUGGCGGAUGUUAGCGGCGGAGGGGAGAGAAACAAGUGGAUAACGUACUUAUAAGACAGGGAUAACUAGGGGAAACAGUAGCUAAUACCGGAUAAUAUUGUGAACCGCGUGGGUCAAAGGUGAAAGACGGUGGUGCGGUCAAUAAUAGAUGGAUCCGCGCUUGAUUAGCUAGUUGGUAAGGUAAAGGCUUACCAAGGCGACGAUGCAUAGCCGACCUGAGAGGGUGAUCGGCCACACUGGAACUGAGACACGGUCCAGACUCCUACGGGAGGCAGCAGUGGGGAAUCUUCGGCAAUGGGCGAAAGCCUGACGCAGCAACGCCGCGUGAGUGAUGAAGGUCUUCGGGUCGUAAAGCUCUGUUGUUAGGGGGGAACCGAUGUGUACUUAUCUGUGCAGAUCUUGACGGUACCUGAUCAAAAAGCCCCGGCUAACUACGUG
rnacentral:rRNA from 1 species